CUAGCAGAAUAAUGGUACUAUAUAUAAUAAUGUAACAAAAAAUGGUGAUAUAUACUUCUAUAGCAGCUCAAUGGUAAUAUAUAAUAUUAUAGCAGAGUAACAGUACUAUAUACGUGUACUUGAUCAAAUUAAAUCUGAGCAAACAUUAUACAAUAUUUGACCUAACGGAUGUGGACUCUUAGCCCUGAGAAUUUAGUAUACUAGUAUUAUCAGCAGAAUAUCUAAAAGUGAGCGUUCAGUGUACUUGGGAGAUUUAGACGUUAGUAUAUUAUCUGUAGUGUAAUGCGCUCUGUUCAUAUCUCUACCCCUGUAUAUUCACCGACUUGUAGUCAUUUUCUAUAAUAAGUAUUUUUGUAAUAAUUUGUCGCCUGAGUUCAGGUUACUGUCUGUGUUUAGUGUUAUAUAUUCUUCCCGCGUCGGUGUGGGUUUCCUCGGGUUCUCCAGUUUCCUCCCACCUCCCCAAAACAGGCUGGUGUUCGGAUUGGUUAAUCUAAAUUGCCCCAAGGUGUGAAUGUGUGUGUGUGUGUGUGUGUGUGUGUGUGUGUGUGUGUGUGUGUGUGUGGUGCACCAGGAUAAAAAUGAAUGUUUGUAUAUUUGAAGAACCUUUUUUUCUGUACGCAGUGUACUGAGCUCGCUUACCUGCAGUGGUGGUGAUGAUGAUGAUGAUGAUGAUGAUGAUAGAAAUGAUCACCGAUCUUACGUUUGUAAAGUCUAUAAGGUUUGGUACAGGAAAUCAGAAGAGCACAGUUCCCAAAUCCAUGUUAGUGUGUGUGUGUGUGUGUGUGUGUGUGUGUGUGUGUGUGUGUGUGUCACGCCACAACGACCCAAAAUAUGCUGCCUCUGUCCUGACAUGCCAAGUUUUAGCAUGUACACACACUCAGACUCUUUCUGCCUCUCUGCCCAGACAUGCUGGGAUCAGCACCACAGUAUCAAAAGAACUUGGAAUGAGUACACACACACACACACACACACACACACACACACACACACACACACACACACACUUGAGAUGGCUGAAAAUGAAAUGAAAUGAAAAUAAUAAAAGAGAAUAUUUAUGAAAG
ensembl:lncRNA